CCUACGGGGGGCUGCAGUGGGGAAUAUUGGACAAUGGGGGAAACCCUGAUCCAGCAAUGCCGCUUGGGUGAAGAAGGUCUUCGGAUUGUAAAGCCCUUUCGGCGGGGACGAUGAUGACGGUACCCGCAGAAGAAGCCCCGGCUAACUUCGUGCCAGCAGCCGCGGUAAUACGAAGGGGGCUAGCGUUGCUCGGAAUGACUGGGCGUAAAGGGCGCGUAGGCGUAUUGAUCAGUCGGGCGUGAAAUUCCUGGGCUUAACCUGGGGGCUGCGUUCGAGACGGUUGGUCUAGAGUUUGGAAGAGGGUCGUGGAAUUCCCAGUGUAGAGGUGAAAUUCGUAGAUAUUGUGAAGAACACCGGUGGCGAAGGCGGCGACCUGGUCCUUGACUGACGCUGAGGCGCGAA
rnacentral:rRNA from 1 species